rnacentral:lncRNA from 1 species
UUAUCAUUUUCUAAUACACAUUUAAUACAUACAGAUCAAUUUUUUUAUUUAAAAAUUUUGUAUGAUGAAAAUAUUUCUAUCUUUUAAAAAAAUUAUGGCAUUCUAUAAUAUAAUAUGGUCCAGAAUGUCAUAAUAUGGCCUAAGAUAUCAUAAUAUGAAAGGAGUAUUUUCAUUCAACCAUUUUCUAACAUACAUUUAAUACCUGC